rnacentral:lncRNA from 1 species
GCCAGCUGGGUGAACGUGGACCCGUGGACUUGGGCCCAGAAUGUGCCGGAGGGCUGCAGGCUUCUGUUUAGGAGCCGGAGAGGAUGAGGUAGUGGCCGUGAUUGGAACAAAUAAAACUGCUUCGUGUCAUACUGCCCAGAGUCCCAUGGGAAACAAACUCGCCAGCACAGAGCUGCUCCUCAAUGACCCCGUUUCGUAGAGGACGAGGUGAGGCUCAGAGAGGGUGGGUGGCCCCUCAUCGCCCCCCAGCUGCUGAGUGGGACCCUGAGCCCGGCUCCAACUGCUGCUGCCAUUGCCGAGUCAGCAGGGGUCAUUUUCUGGCUAACUGGCCAGCGCAGGCUAGCCGUUCCAGUGGAUCCCGCACCGCUGUGAGAUUUUGGUGUGGGGGUAUUCCCGCCGGCCAGGGCUGGCUGGGGGUUCCAGCUCUGCAGCCCCGGGCGGGGAGGCUGCCGCUGCCCCGGAGCGUCCCGGCGGGUGCUCUCCAGCCCAUCGAUCUCAGGGCCUGAGGCUGCACAGGCCUCAGCCGUCGGCACUCUCCUCCUCUCGCAGACAAGCUGGAGCUGAGCGCACGGGGCUGCCCAGUGUCCUUGCCCUGCGGACUGAGCACGGGCUUCCCGGGUCAGGGCCGCCUUCCCCAGGCAGCCCACCUGUGCACUCCCCCACCCUCCUCUGCCAAUCUGCGGAUGGCCAGUGGCCCCAGGGAUAUUUUAUACAAUCGAGGGAAGGAGGGCCUGUUCUGCAUGACAGUCUCGGUUUAAAACCCUCCCACGGCACCUGGAGGAAGACUUCAUUCACUCGACACGGACACGGCGGUGAAUGCUGCGUCCCAGGAGCUGGCCUCGGCAGCACACCUGGAAAGAAGGCGGCAGGGAGGAAUUCUCGGCCGUAUUUGUGCGCUCACCACUUCCUCUCCUGCCCUCUCUUGUCCAUCUACGGGCUGCCAAAUCCCAGGUCUCUGGGCCCAAAUCUCUCUCCUGAGUCACAGCGUCACCAGCUGCCCAGGCCCCGGGUCUGCAAGCAGGUCUGGAUGGACCUCAGCAUCCUCCUGUCCUUCACCCGGCCCCCUCCCGCCGGCCAGCUCCAUCCUGUGCAAUCAGAUGCCUCUCCUCGUCUCCCAGGCUCUGUGUGUUCCCCCUCACUCACAGCCGUGGCCGGGUGCUGUCCGCUGCCGUCUACCACGAGCCCCUGGGAGCCACCAUCGCUCCUGCCUGGACAGCCACAGCAGCUGCCCGGGGUCGUCCUGCUCACUGUCACCCCCACCUCGCCCGCCCCACAGGCCAGUGUCCGUCCCGCACUGCAGUGGACGAGCAAAGCCGAAGGCCUGGCUGAAGCAGCGAGAUGUCGGUGAGGCAGGUCCCCUGAUGCAGAGAAUGAGC